AUUGAACGCUGGCGGCAGGCCUAACACAUGCAAGUCGAGCGGAUGAAGGGAGCUUGCUCCUGGAUUCAGCGGCGGACGGGUGAGUAAUGCCUAGGAAUCUGCCUGGUAGUGGGGGAUAACGUCCGGAAACGGGCGCUAAUACCGCAUACGUCCUGAGGGAGAAAGUGGGGGAUCUUCGGACCUCACGCUAUCAGAUGAGCCUAGGUCGGAUUAGCUAGUUGGUUGGGUAAAGGCCUACCAAGGCGACGAUCCGUAACUGGUCUGAGAGGAUGAUCAGUCACACUGGAACGGAGACACGGUCCAGACUCCUACGGGAGGCAGCAGUGGGGAAUAUUGGACAAUGGGCGAAAGCCUGAUCCAGCCAUGCCGCGUGUGUGAAGAAGGCCUUCGGAUUGUAAAGCACUUUAAGUUGGGAGGAAGGGCAGUAAGUUAAUACCUUGCUGUUUUGACGGUACCAACAGAAUAAGCACCGGCUAACUUCGUG
rnacentral:rRNA from 1 species